AAAGGGAAAAAGGGGGGGGGGGAAAGUUGUAAAAAAAUUAUACUUUGACUUAGCAAUGUUACAUGCCCCAAUCCCUAAAUAAAGUGAUUGUGUAUGACAGUGUGUAGUGGGACGGAAGGGAACUAUUUUACAAGUCUACAUAUAGAUUUACGUGGCUAAUAUUAAUAGGUGUUUUUUUAAUUUUUUUAUUAAUUUUAUUUUUAAUUUUUUUUUUACUCCUUUGAAUAAUGAAAGACAAAAAACGUAAAGAAAGAAAAUGUAGAAAGCAAUUUUAAUUCUCCCACAUUUAAAGUUUUAGAGAAGGUAUUGGGUGCAUAUUGUCGCACGCAUAAUUAAGUGCGUCAGGUUUAGCCAAUAUAUAUCAUUUGUUGGCUAAUAUGUUUUAUUUGCUGGCUGAUAUGAUUUUUGUGUUGGUUAAUAUAUUUCUUGUUGGCUGAUAAGUUUUUUUUUUUUUUAUAUGUUCUUUUGUUGGCUGCUAUAAGACAUCAGUUGACUGAUAUUUUUUUUAGCCGGCUAAUACAUUUAUUGUUGGCUGAUAUAUAUAUUUUAAUUGUUGGCUUACAUGUUUCAUUGUGUUGGCUGAUGUGUUUAUUUUGUUGCCUUACCAGCUUGUUGCUUUUGUUUGCUGAUUUCAUCCUUUUGUUGGCUAAUAUGCUUCAUUUCUUGGUUGAUAUGUUCCUUUUGUUGGCUGAUAUGUAUCUUUUGUUGGAUGAUAUGUUCCUUUCGUUGGCUAAUAUGUUUCAUUUGUUGGCUGAUAUGUCCCUUGUGUUGACUGAUACGUUUUUAUUAAUAUCUGAUAGUCUCUAAUGUUGACUGAUAUUAGACAUCAAUUGGCUGAUAUGUUAUUAUUUUAAUGUCUGAUAUGCGUCAUUUGUUGGCUAAUAUGAUUAACAAUAUACAAUAUAUUUUUAUUUCCUUCUAUAUCCUCUUUCUCCCUCUCCUCUCUUUCUUUCUCUCUGUUUCAAAUAAGAAUGAGGUUUCUCAUUAACAACAACAUGAGCGACCAACAACAACAGCACCACCGCUGCUCCCCAACUGCCGCCCAACUAGCCACCAUGAACUAGCGAACUCCACCAACAGAGAACCGCCAUCAAUCAGUCACAAACACUGUCCACAACGGCCGCGACCUGUAACUGCACCUCCCUUGCGACUCACACCAGCGAAUCGCGGCUGAAGUACACUCCACCUCGCUGUAAUUAUCCGCCCAGAACCACCAGUCAGCCGCAUCUCCAACCAAAACCCAAAAUCGACCACUAAUCGCCACCAACCACAAGCAGAGCAGGCCCUGAAUUUCCAGCCACCAAAACCCGCAUCCCCACAACAACCACCUGCAACAAGCUAGCAUCGGUCUUCGCAAUGGAAAACACCUUCACUCUUCUUCUUCAUCAUCCCCAAUCAUCAUUUUCAGCAAAAUUCUUCGCAACAGCAGCCUUCUUAAAAGGAUCAUGCAACAACCCCAAAUUAGAAUUAACAACAUAUGAUUCACAAACAACAGAAACCCUAUAAUCAAUAAGAUUCAAACACAAUUUUGGUUGACGGAAUUUAGUGGAAAAGGGAGCUUGAGAGAGAAAGUAAUGGAGGAAUCGGAAGAGGAGAAAGGGAAGAAUGUCAUGACCUGCAAACAGAGCAAAGUCAAAGAGUGCCAAUUUUUGGAUCGAGAUGAUCGAUGAUAGAAUGUCGACAGGAAGAUUGGACUACCGUGAGUUCUGCCCACCGCCGUUGCUGUCGCCGAAAAAUAGUGGACAUCGUAGGCUUCAUGCACCAAAUAAAUUUUCCAUUUGAAGAAGAAGAAGAUGAAGAAAAGGGGUUACUAGGUCAGUAAGGGCUUACUUGGUCAGGGGUUAUCCGGUCAGGGUUACUUGGUCAAAGGUUAUUCAGUCAGGGGUUACUUGGUUAGGAGUUACUCGGUCGCUCAGGGAUUACUCGUGUGUUAGCUGGCCACACGGUGUGGCUAGCUACACACAAAAGUUGUUGCAUUCAUAAAGUACUCACUUAGUCCCUUCCAAAGACUUAUGAAUACUGCUUUUCCUGUUCUUCAUGCAUACUACGUAGAUUGCUAAACUUUUCUAAUUUGUGGCGUUAUUUCAAUUCAAUUUGUAAAACAAUCUUUUCAAAUUUUAUAGUAUCCUCUAAAUUUAUACAUGCA